rnacentral:rRNA from 1 species
UACGGGGGGGGCAAGCGUUGUUCGGAAUUACUGGGCGUAAAGCGCGUGUAGGCGGCUUUUCAAGUCGGACGUGAAAGCCCCAGGCUUAACCUGGGAAUUGCGCUCGAUACUGUUGAGCUAGAGUGUGGAAGAGGCUACUGGAAUUCCGUGUGUAGCGGUGAAAUGCGUAGAUAUACGGAGGAACACCAGCGGCGAAGGCGGGUAGCUGGGCCGACACUGACGCUGAGACGCGAAAGCUAGGGGAGCAAACGGG